UACGGAGGGUGCGAGCGUUAAUCGGAAUUACUGGGCGUAAAGCGUGCGCAGGCGGCUUUGCAAGACAGAUGUGAAAUCCCCGGGCUCAACCUGGGAACUGCAUUUGUGACUGCAAGGCUAGAGUACGGCAGAGGGGGAGGGAAUUCCGCGUGUAGCAGUGAAAUGCGGAGAUAUGCGGAGGAACACCAAUGGCGAAGGCAAUCCCCGGGGCCUGUACUGACGCUCAUGCACGAAAGCGUGGGGAGCAAACAGG
rnacentral:rRNA from 1 species